GGAGAGUUUGAUCAUGGCUCAGAACGAACGCUGGCGGCAGGCCUAACACAUGCAAGUCGAGCGAGACCUUCGGGUCUAGCGGCGGACGGGUUAGUAACGCGUGGGAACGUACCCUUUUCUAAGGAAUAGCCACUGGAAACGGUGAGUAAUGCCUUAUGCKCCCUUCGGGGGAAAGAUUUAUCGGAGAAGGAUCGGCCCGCGUUAGAUUAGAUAGUUGGUGGGGUAAUGGCCUACCAAGUCUACGAUCUAUAGCUGGUUUGAGAGGAUGAUCAGCAACACUGGGACUGAGACACGGCCCAGACUCCUACGGGAGGCAGCAGUGGGGAAUCUUAGACAAUGGGCGCAAGCCUGAUCUAGCCAUGCCGCGUGAGUGAUGAAGGCCUUAGGGUCGUAAAGCUCUUUCGCCUGUGAAGAUAAUGACUGUAGCAGGUAAAGAAACCCCGGCUAACUCCGUGCCAGCAGCCGCGGUAAUACGGAGGGGGUUAGCGUUGUUCGGAAUUACUGGGCGUAAAGCGCGCGUAGGCGGACAUUUAAGUCAGAGGUGAAAUCCCAGGGCUCAACCCUGGAACUGCCUUUGAUACUGGGUGUCUUGAGUUCGAGAGAGGUGAGUGGAAUUCCGAGUGUAGAGGUGAAAUUCGUAGAUAUUCGGAGGAACACCAGUGGCGAAGGCGGCUCACUGGCUCGAUACUGACGCUGAGGUGCGAAAGUGUGGGGAGCAAACAGGAUUAGAUACCCUGG
rnacentral:rRNA from 1 species